UCUCACCAGAUAUCUGAAUGAUGUCAUUGGGAGAAACGCCACUGUCUGUCAACUUCUGGACCAGGUGUUUCCUCAUACUGAAAAAAACCCAAAUGAUUCAGUUCUCAUGCCGAAGUUCAGACAACAAAUCAUCCACAUGGUGUGAAGGAGGCUGUGUGGGUUAUCACUUCCGAGGGUCUUGGCAUCGUACAUGGCAUCAAUAUCCAUAUCUGACAGCUCUUCAGCAGCCUUGGAUCUCGAAGAAACCUUGAAACAUCAUCAUCACUGAUAGAUUUAUACUUUUUAUCACCAAGUAUGCUGUAAUCUAUUGCAGAUAAUAAAUUAUCCACAUCACCUCUCUCAAUGUUGUCGCUCAUUU